UACGUAGGGGGCAAGCGUUGUCCGGAAUCAUUGGGCGUAAAGCGUGUGUAGGCGGCCGCGACAGUCGGAUGUGAAAGCCCUGGGCUCAACUCAGGAAGUGCACCCGAUACUACGUGGCUCGAGUACCGGAGAGGUUGGUGGAAUUCCCGGUGUAGUGGUGAAAUGCGUAGAUAUCGGGAGGAACACCAGUGGCGAAGGCGACUUCCUGGCCUGUUCUUGACGCUGAGGCGCGAAAGCUAGGGGAGCAAACGGG
rnacentral:rRNA from 1 species